rnacentral:rRNA from 1 species
AACGAACGCUGGCGGCAGGCCUAACACAUGCAAGUCGAACGCACCGCAAGGUGAGUGGCGCACGGGUGAGUAACACGUGGGAAUGUACCCUUUGGUUCGGAAUAACGUUUGGAAACGAACGCUAAUACCGGAUGAGCCCUGCGGGGGAAAGAUUUAUCGCCAAAGGAGCAACCCGCGUCUGAUUAGCUAGUUGGUGGGGUAAAGGCCUACCAAGGCGACGAUCAGUAGCUGGUCUGAGAGGAUGAUCAGCCACACUGGGACUGAGACACGGCCCAGACUCCUACGGAGGCAGCAGUGGGGAAUAUUGGACAAUGGGCGCAAGCCUGAUCCAGCCAUGCCGCGUGAGUGAUGAAGGCC